AGCCAGCAAACCAUGGGUCAACGACUCGGCGUGCUACCCUUCCCAGCCAAAAAAAGAAAACCCAAAUUCUCGGUCUCCUCCCGUUUCUUUUUCACCGUUCCUUGCCUGAUCCAUAGAUUCAUCCACAUUCGUUGCUAGAUCCUGCCAAGGGAGGAGGACGGGGUGAGAAGGAGAAGGGGGAUUUGCGGCGGAGUGCGGUGGCCGCAUGCUCUCGGCGACGGCAGGUCCUCCAGCUCGACCACACGUGCCUGCUGCUCGCCCCCGCCGUCAAUUGGAUGGUCGUGGAGUUGGGCCCCUUUGAACCUGAGCGGUCGCUCUCCUCCAGAGAAUCCAUGGGUGGAGGCACGUUGUGGGCUUGCUACUGCUGUCAGCUUCCACCUAUGUAAUGUGCUACAACUUUGCAUCAUUACUACUUUCUGCACACCGGCUGAUUCAUCACAGGGAAUUGAAGCCCAACUUUGACUAUUGUCUCUUCAACACAUCGGUAUCAAUUAUAUGGAAUUUCGUAUAGCAAAAGUGUCAGGAAAUAGUAAUUUGCAUUGGCUUGUGAUUGGUUGAUUUACCUUUGUGGAGAGUCCACAGGUGGAGGCGAGUUGAGGGCUUCCUAAUUGCUACUGCUGUCAGGUUCCACCUAUGUAAUGUGCUACAACUUUGCAUCAUUCUUACUUCCUCCACACUGGCUGUUUCUUCACAGUAAGGCAAAAGGAAGAAGGCUUACAUGUAUUAACAGAAUUUGGUUCAUAUGUGUUAAUUGAUAUACAAUAGAUUUUUCACAUGCCAUGAACAUAUAACUCACGGAAGUGCAUGUCGGAAUGUAUUCCAAAUAAUUAUAAUGUGACAUACUUCUGAUGGUGCCAACAUUUAACCAUUAUCUAAUAAUUGUCCUCCUUAUAUUGAUUCGAUGUCAAGUAUUCUUUCUUUAUCUCAGUACUCAUAAAUGGUUCGGCUUACUUUCAACACAAUUAUUGUAUAAUAUUUGACACUUCUCAGAUUUCCCAUCUAGUGAGUUGACCAAUUUUGCUACCAUUGUUAUUACUGCAGAGUAAGUAUAAUAUGGAAGUUCUUGUUCAAAUUAGUAGAAUAUAUGCUUACCGGGUGUUAGAAUUUGUAGAUAUAUACCACAAUUGUCACUACAGAUUAAAUAUAAUAUGAAAGUUCUUGUCAGUUUUCUUUGUAGUUAGUUUGCGAAUCACAACAUGAUCAUUUGAAUAUUUUGUUGUAACAAAUCUAUCAUAGCUAUUGUUGUGAAAGAAAAAUCCUUAAAAAAUCACCCAAUAGCAACCCGAAGAAGUUAAGAGAUAUAAAUAAUUCAGAUAUGGUUCCAUUAUGCUCCCUCUGUUCAAUAAUAUAUGACGUUUUUUGACAGUACACAGUGCCGAAAACGUCUUAUAUUAUGGGAUAGAGGGAAGUUUGUGAUUUUUUUUUGUUAUUCUUGAUUCCACAUGCUUCAUUUGGGUGAAUAAUCCAUUGACAUCCAAAUUUGGAGAUAUUAAUUCACCUAUGUAAUGUGCAUAAUCUAUGACACAUUUUUGCUAUGAUGAAUAUGUAAAUAAAUUCUGUACAGUUCCAUAAAUACACAGUGAUGCAUUUUUGUUGUAAAGAUAAUGUAAAUAACUUUUUAUAGCUUUGCAAAUAAGAUUAACCUUGAUGUAUAAAUCCGAUCAGAGUAUAGGUAGCUAUGCAAUGGUCAUGCGUCACAUCAUUAGUCUAAGGCUCUAACCACAUCCAUGGAGAAUCUAACAUCUCAACCACGCAUAUCUGUUUGUUCCAGAAGCUAUGAAAUUGAGGUAUGCAGAAGAUGAAGAAACCUGAGAACUGAUGAUCCAAAGAAGAGUCGGAGCUCGAGCAUCACAUAGCCGUCAACUAUGGUGGCUUGUAGGCAGAUGUGUCUCAGACCGAAGUUGUUACCGCUGGACCGUGGUUACAUGCAUCCUAGCUCUUGGAGGCAGCGGUGCGGGGAGAUAUGCAUGUGCAAGGAAAAGAAGUGGGCGAAGGCCGAAGAAGCAAUCUAUGCCUCCCUAGCGCUGGGUCCUGCUCCUCGAUAUGUCACCUUAGUCAUGGCUGCCUUAUCCCUCAUGCUGCUGAUUUGAACCUGCCCUACUCUCCUAGGCUGCUCGAGGGCUUCAGCGCGUGCCUUGCCGACAACACGGAAGGAAGAAUCAGAAGUGACGGCUAGAGCGCUAGGAAAUUGAAAACCAUAGCAAUUGAUCUUCUCUAUAAAACGUGUGUGCAAGGGACGUGGAACCUGCUUCAGGGAAGAAGAGAUGGAUCACUUGAGAGAAGAGACCAGCUUUGAUCCUUUAUUGGACAGACAAUUUUUUUUUGUUUUUUUUGCUAAUUGCCUAGUCCAUAUUGUCCAUGUAUUGGAAGCAUGUAAACGUGUGGCUCCUGGAGUUUGUAGGGAAACCUGCUAUAUUGCUUUUGGAUAUGUGUAAGGGCUUUGUUUUUUA